GGCUUACCAUGCAGUCGAGGGGCAGCAUGGUCUUAGCUUGCUAAGGCUGAUGGCGACCGGCGCACGGGUGAGUAACACGUAUCCAACCUGCCGUCUACUCUUGGCCAGCCUUCUGAAAGGAAGAUUAAUCCAGGAUGGCAUCAUGAGUUCACAUGUCCGCAUGAUUAAAGGUAUUUUCCGGUAGACGAUGGGGAUGCGUUCCAUUAGAUAGUAGGCGGGGUAACGGCCCACCUAGUCAACGAUGGAUAGGGGUUCUGAGAGGAAGGUCCCCCACAUUGGAACUGAGACACGGUCCAAACUCCUACGGGAGGCAGCAGUGAGGAAUAUUGGUCAAUGGGCGAUGGCCUGAACCAGCCAAGUAGCGUGAAGGAUGACUGCCCUAUGGGUUGUAAACUUCUUUUAUAAAGGAAUAAAGUCGGGUAUGCAUACCCGUUUGCAUGUACUUUAUGAAUAAGGAUCGGCUAACUCCGUGCCAGCAGCCGCGGUAAUACGGAGGAUCCGAGCGUUAUCCGGAUUUAUUGGGUUUAAAGGGAGCGUAGAUGGAUGUUUAAGUCAGUUGUGAAAGUUUGCGGCUCAACCGUAAAAUUGCAGUUGAUACUGGAUGUCUUGAGUGCAGUUGAGGCAGGCGGAAUUCGUGGUGUAGCGGUGAAAUGCUUAGAUAUCACGAAGAACUCCGAUUGCGAAGGCAGCCUGCUAAGCUGCAACUGACAUUGAGGCUCGAAAGUGUGGGUAUCAAACAGGAUUAGAUACCCUGGUAGUCCACACGGUAAACGAUGAAUACUCGCUGUUUGCGAUAUACGGCAAGCGGCCAAGCGAAAGCGUUAAGUAUUUCCACCUGGGGGAGUACGCCCGGCACGGUGAAAACUCAAAAGGAAUUGACGGGGGCCCCGGCACAGCGGAGGAACAUGUGG
rnacentral:rRNA from 1 species